UACUCUUGCAGACUUAUUGGGAUAAUUUGUUACUCGGUAACCUUACUGUUGUUUUAUUUAAAAUUGAGUAAAAUGAGACCAAUUUCAGAACCAUUUCUGAUUCUAAGGAAAUAUUAAUAUCUUUGCAUCAAAUUAUAAUUGCUACAUCAAGAUCUAAAUAUGCUGCGACCAUUAUGCAGCAAUUUAUGUUAGAAAAGUUUGUAGCAAAUAACAUAUAAUCCAUACCAAAUAAAAUUCAUAAAAAUAUCAAAGGGUUGGAAGUAAUUUCAAUAUUUAGACAGUUAAUUGAAAGUUGGGUUAGAGCACAGUAGGAAAUUAGAAUUUAAAAAAAUGAAUCAAAUACAAUAUAGUGCUAUAUUUUACAUCUUUGGUAUAAUUAUUCUGAGCAUUUGAAUGAUGUAUGUUUACUUUGAAUGGAAACACAUGUUCAAGCAUAGUUAAGGUAUAUAAGGAUUGAGACAACUACAAAAGAAAAAUACUUUUAACAAUUAUAUUUAUCAUCAUAAUAUUUCUUGAACAUCAUUCUGUAGAUCCAUUCUGUAGAUUCAUGUAGGCACAUUUGUAGAUAUGUUUGUGCAUAUUUUUCACAUAUCUGUGCACAUUUUUCAUUAUUAUUUGAUAUGAAACUUUAUAUUACGGUUUUACAUAACAAUAAAACCGAUAUUAUGUGCCGAGAAGGAAAACAUACAGCAUUGUAUUAUGAAGAAGCAGUGUGUACUUAGCUUAAAUUCCUUGUCUAUGUCCAACCAUAGACAGUCAAUUUAGUUCCAUCUUUAGCCGCUAGGUGCUGCCAGCAAGUAUAAAGGAAGCGCAGCCAUCUUUGAUCUUCAUAGUCUUCACCAGGAAGAACUUCCUGCAAUGCUGUAUGUUUUCCUUCUCGGCACAUAAUAUCGGUUUUAUUGUUAUGUAAAACCGUAAUAUUGAUGUGCCUUUGGAAAACAUACAGCAUUGUAUUAUGAAGACGUGUUUGUUAUCUGCUGGUGAAAUUAUUAAGCACAACGCUAUGAUGAAAUAGAAAGUCGACAGCGCUGCUUUAUGCAGAAGGAUUGUUUUACAGGCAAAAUUUUCUUUUUGAAAAAGAAGAGAAAAAAGAGAAAAAAAGAAAACAGAAUUUGGCAACAUCUGCAGACUUAGGAUCAAUUUUAAAACUGUAGUACCAUAUGCACCAUCUUCUAGUUGCUGGUAAGUAUGCUGGCAAAGUGGAUUGACACCAGCUUAUUUUCAAUAAAUCUUCUCCUGUGUA